rnacentral:rRNA from 1 species
GACGAACGCUGGCGGCGUGCCUAAUACAUGCAAGUCGAACGCACUCUCGUUUAGAUUGACGGAGUUUGCUCCUGAUUGAUAAACAUUUGAGUGAGUGGCGGACGGGUGAGUAACACGUGGGUAACCUGCCCUAAAGUGGGGGGUAACAUUUGGAAACAGAUGCUAAUACCGCAUAAAACCUAACACCGCAUGGUGUAGGGUUGAAAGAUGGUUUCGGCUAUCACUUUAGGAUGGACCCGCGGUGCAUUAGUUAGUUGGUGAGGUAAAGGCUCACCAAGACCGUGAUGCAUAGCCGACCUGAGAGGGUAAUCGGCCACACUGGGACUGAGACACGGCCCAGACUCCUACGGGAGGCAGCAGUAGGGAAUCUUCCACAAUGGACGAAAGUCUGAUGGAGCAACGCCGCGUGAGUGAAGAAGGUUUUCGGAUCGUGAAACUCUGUUGUUGGAGAAGAAUGUAUCUGAUAGUAACUGAUCAGGUAGUGACGGUAUCCAACCAGAAAGCCACGGCUAACUACGUG